rnacentral:rRNA from 1 species
AACGAACGCUGGCGGCAGGCCUAACACAUGCAAGUCGAACGCCCCGCAAGGGGAGUGGCAGACGGGUGAGUAACACGUGGGAACCUACCUUGUGGUACGGAACAACCAAGGGAAACUUUGGCUAAUACCGUAUGAGCCCGAGAGGGGAAAGAUUUAUCGCCAUAAGAUGGGCCCGCGUCGGAUUAGCUAGUUGGUGAGGUAAUGGCUCACCAAGGCGACGAUCCGUAGCUGGUCUGAGAGGAUGACCAGCCACACUGGGACUGAGACACGGCCCAGACUCCUACGGGAGGCAGCAGUGGGGAAUAUUGGACAAUGGGCGCAAGCCUGAUCCAGCCAUGCCGCGUGUGUGAUGAAGGCCUUAGGGUUGUAAAGCACUUUCGCCGAUGAAGAUAAUGACGGUAGUCGGAGAAGAAGCCCCGGCUAACUUCGUGCCAGCAGCCGCCGUAA